rnacentral:lncRNA from 1 species
UACUACUAUGCAAAUACCUCUGGUAAGAAAGUGAUAGCUAUAAAUAUUACAGCAACUUAUUGUUUUGUUUAUAAAUUAUGUUGGACAGAAGAUGUAAUAAAUAAAGUAGGUUAAGCUAAUGUUAUUUAGUUAUGUAUUUCAGUAUAUGUAUAUAAAGUGAAUUGAAUAAUAAAACAACUUUCCUAAAAAAGAUUCCUUAUCACUAACAAUGGAUGGUACCAUUUCUAUGCAAAAAUUACCCAAAAUUUGAUAGGAUCUGGGCAAGCUGCUGGGUCGGUGACAGCUACGCGAUAUUGCAAGCUAUUGAAAAUUAUUGAUAUGUACAAUCUUUGAAAACGACUUUGUUGUAUUUGGUAGGGAGAUAUAAAAAGGCAAAACCUCUGACUGGUAUAGAAGUUUUUUUUUUUUUUUUUUUUUUAACUAAGGGCUUUCACUUUAAAACUUAAACUAUUACAAGAUAAGAUUGGAAAUCUUAUAGUUUGGAAAAGCUGGAAUGAAACAAGUUUCAUGUAAGAGUGAAUCUCAAACCAAUGAAACAACAAAGGUUGAGACUAGAUAAACCAAUGAUGGUGAGAAAGACACUAGCUAAUGAUAGGAGCCACGGCCUCGUCGGCCACGGUUUCCUCUCCCUCGGACUGUUUUCCAUUCCAUGUUUUGAUACUUGAUGGGAGGCUUUGACUCUCUCCCACCUCUAGUCAAGCUGAACGAGUUUGAAGGCUCAAUUUCAGCUUCAUCCACUUCUUCUAACACUGUAAAACGAGAAGGUCUCUCAAAGGCACAAUGAUUAGUUGAUGUGGUUAAAGGAUUAAUAACAGAGGACUCUAGGACCUUGUUAUUGAUAAUACUUGAUGGAGAGGUUUCCAUAAUCUGUUAAUAAGAGGGAGUAGACUGUGCAUCUACUAAUGUGGAGUAAGCAGGAACUGAGUUAAGCGGAACAAUGGGCUUCUCUUGUUGUGAAUGAGAAGAAGGAGAUAAAGUUUCAAGCACAGCGACAAGGCGUACCUCUUCUAAGACGUGGCCAGA